rnacentral:rRNA from 1 species
CAGCCGCCACGGUAAUACGGAGGAUCCAAGCGUUAUCCGGAAUCAUUGGGUUUAAAGGGUCCGUAGGCGGUCUUGUAAGUCAGUGGUGAAAGCCCAUCGCUCAACGGUGGAACGGCCAUUGAUACUGCAGGACUUGAAUUAUUGGGAAGUAACUAGAAUAUGUAGUGUAGCGGUGAAAUGCUUAGAGAUUACAUGGAAUACCAAUUGCGAAGGCAGGUUACUACCAAUUGAUUGACGCUGAUGGACGAAAGCGUGGGUAGCGAACAGGAUUAGAUACCCGCGUAGUCCCUGUCUCUUAUAA